AGUUCUAUGGUGAAAUGGCUAGAACUUUGGACUCUGAAUCCAAUGUUCUGGUCUCAAAUAUCGGUAGGACCU
rnacentral:tRNA from 1 species